AGCCCACACAGACUCUGCUUGGACAGGUCUGCACCGGGGAGUCCCUGGGGUUGGGACCACCCUGAGGCUCCUGUGCAGGAGACCACAACUCGGAAGACGAGGAGGGCAAGGAAACUCCACCAGGGAGACAGGGUUUACAUGGUUUCUGAGCUAACACGUCUCAGCUGCUGUGAAGAAAUGAACAAGCUAGGGCCAACAUACCAAGGCCUCCUGUGGCUCAGUCCUGUAACAAGGAGGCAGGGCAUUCUGCAAAGAAGAAAGAAGAUUUCCCUGCGUGUCUCUUUGGCCAGAGAUUGGUCAUAUGUCAUUGUGGUGCUGGAGAAGACUCUUGAGAGUCCCUUGGACUGCAAGAAGACCCAACCAGUCCAUCCUAAAGGAAAUCAGUCCUGAAUAUUCAUUGGAAGGACUGAUGUUGAAGCUGAAACUCCAAUACUUUGGCCUCCUGAAGCAAAGAGCUGACUCAUUU
ensembl:lncRNA